ACCGUGCAAAGGUAGCAUAAUCAUUUGCCUAUUAAUUGUAGGCUAGUAUGAAUGGACAAACGUGAACUUUACUGUCUCCUCCAAGUAUCUAAAAUUUUAUAUUUAAGUGAAGAAGCUUAAAUAACCUCGCAGGACAAGAAGACCCUAUAGAGCUUUACCAUUAACCUUAAAUUGUAAGCUAAUUGGUUCGGUUGGGGCGACCAAGGAAUACAAAACAUCCUUAUAUUAAUUAGAUAUACAAAUCGUAUUAAAGAUCCUUACUAAAGAUCAUUGAACCAAGCUACCUUAGGGAUAACAGGCUAAUUCCUCUAGAGAGCCCUUAUUGACAGAGGAGG
rnacentral:rRNA from 1 species